rnacentral:rRNA from 1 species
GACGAACGCUGGCGGCGUGCCUAAUACAUGCAAGUCGAACGCAUUUUCUUUCACCGUAGCUUGCUACACCGAAAGAAACUGAGUGGCGAACGGGUGAGUAACACGUGGGUAACCUGCCCAUCAUCGGGGGAUAACACUUGGAAACAGGUGCUAAUACCGCAUAAUUCCAUUUACCGCAUGGUAGAUGGAUGAAAGGCGCUUUUGCGUCACUGAUGGAUGGACCCGCGGUGCAUUAGCUAGUUGGUGGGGUAACGGCCUACCAAGGCUGCGAUGCAUAGCCGACCUGAGAGGGUGAUCGGCCACACUGGGACUGAGACACGGCCCAGACGCCUACGGGAGGCAGCAGUAGGGAAUCUUCGGCAAUGGACACAAGUCUGACCGAGCAACGCCGCGUGAGUGAAGAAGGUUGUCGGAUCGUAAAACUCUGUUGUUAGAGAAGAACAAGGAUGAGAGUGGAAAGUUCAUCCCUUGACGGUAUCUAACCAGAAAGCCACGGCUAACUACGUG